GUAGGCUUCCAUUCCCUCCUGGCAACAAAUGCCUGGGCAGGCCCUCCCUUUCCUCUGGCUCUCUGAUACCAAAGGCUGAGUAUCAGUUGCUGUUUAUGAUUGUAUUUGCUCUGUUGUUUUCUUAUACCAGAGACAUAUUGCUCUUUAUCCAUAUGUUGUGCAUUGAAAACGGCUGCAAAUUCCUAAGGGCCUUAGGAUGAAAUAAUAAAAUAUGAGAUAGAACACAAGAAUUUGAAACCUCACUUUCUUUGCCUACCAACUAAGUGACUGUGGCCAGGGACCACAGAUAACUCUUGGAGCCCAGUCAUGUGCUCUGAAUUGAUGAUGAUAGUGAUGAUGAUGACAAUGAUGAGAUGAUGAUAAGAUGAUGACAAUGAUGAUGAUAUGAUGAUGACAAUGAGAUUUGAUGAUGAGAUGAUGACAAUGAUAAUGAUGACGAUGAUGAUAUAUGAUGACAAUGAGAUUUGAUGAGAUGACAAUGAUAACGAUGAUGAUGAUAUGAUGACAAUGAGAUUUCAUGAUAAUGAUGAUGACGAUGAUGAUGAUAUGAGGAUGAUGCAUCUGUUCAACAUUUACUCCAUGGCUGCUAUGUAGUAUUUCAUUCAUUCCUCACGAGAACCCCUGGGGGGAGGUCUGCUUUAUCAUUAUCCCCAUUUAACACAUGAGGAGUGGAGGCACUUACAGAGAAAGGCCCUUGCCCAAGUCACACAGCUUAAGUAGGAAACCAGGAUUUGAACCUUGAUAGUCUAGACCAAAUGUGGACAAACUUUUUCAAUAAAAAGUCAGAUGGUAGAUAUUUUAGGCUUUGUGGGCCAUAUAGUCUCUGUGACAGCUACUCAGCUCUGCUGUUGUAGUUCAAAAGCAGCCAGAGACAGUAUGUGAACAAAUUUGUGUGCUGUGUUCCGAUAAAACUUUAUUUACAAUAUUCCCAGAUCAGCUAGAUUUCGCCUGGGGGCCGUAGUUUUCCUAUAUGUGGUCUAAAGGAGUGCUGUCCAGUAGAAACAAUGCAAGCCACAAAUGUGAGCCACAUGUAUAAUUUAACAUUUUCUAGCCAAAUUUUAAAAGUAAAAUUAAGUGAAAUUAAUACUGUAUUUAUAAACACAAUAUACCCAAAAUAUUUCAAAAUGUAAUCAAUAUUUUACAUUCUUUUUUCUUUUCUUUUUUUUUUUUUUUACAUAUUUGAAAGCCAGUGUGUAUUUUACACUUAGUGCCCAUCACUGCUUGGACCAGCCACAUUUCAAGUGCUUGAUGGCCACAUGAGGCUGGUGGCUACACAGAGGACCUGGAAGUUCUAGAACCCAGCUCUUUCAACCCUCUUCCAUGGGGAUCACCAGGACUGUAAAGCACAAGACCCACUAGGGAAGUGCUCUUGUUGUUACUGGAUUCAGCUGAGCCUCUUGGAUGGGUUCCAGCCCAUCCAAGAAUGUUUGAAACACUCCAAGACUUUAAUUUUAAUUUAGCAACCUGGUACUCAGAAUACAUUUUUCCUCAGAAACAACUCUGUAAAUUGCCAUAGGUGCUCUGAGCCCUCCCACCAAGCUCUCAUUAAUGGGCACUAUACCUGUUGAGCAAAGUGUAGCUUGAAUCACCCCUAGUGGCCGUUCAAAGGUUACUUUCUGUUAGCUUUAACUAAGGAUUCUGGGGAAAGACUGUGCCCCAGAGCAGCAGGACACAGCCGGCGCCCCCUGAGCUUUGGUGGGGUGGCUGCCCAUGGAGCUCUGUCGCUCUUGCUGGUGCCAGCUACAGAUGCCCUUGCCGAAGUUCUGGGAAGGCACAUUCCUAAGUCAGAGACACCCAGCCCAUGUUCCUCUUCAUCAGGCUCUUGGAUAAAGCUUCUAGUGUGUCUUUAUCAUCGUUUCCUGAAGGCACACCUCAGGCCUUGGGAAAGUAAGCAAUGGAACAUUCAGCAGUGAUUCCCAGGCUGUGAAAUUUCACAGGCCAAUCAAAAUUUUAAAAUAAAAGAACUGGAGCACCUAUAUAAGAUGGCCAACUUGUAAUUUUUCCAAGUGAGCACAUUAAGGAAAAAAAAAAAAAAAGAAACCUAGCAUCUAUGGGCCCUAUCAUUCUCACACCAAAUCAUGUUAGAAUGAUAUUUUAACACCAGUAAAAGAAAGACAGUCUCAGAAUCAAUGACAAUUUUUUCAGUUGAGUAAAUUUGGCUUGGUGGGAAAAAUGCACAUCACUGCCUUUAUUUUUAUUUUAUUUUAUUUUUAACUUUUAUUUUAAGUUCAGGGGUACAGGUUUGUUACAUAGGUAAACUUGUGUCUUGGGGGUUUGUUGAACAGAUUAUUUCAUCACUCAGGUAUUAAGCCUAGUACCUAUUAGUUAUUUUUCCUGAUCCUCUCCCUCCUCUCACCCUCCACCCUCCGAAAAGGCCCAAUGUGUGUUGUUCUCCUCUAUGUGUCCAUGUGUUCUCAUCAUUUAGCUCCCACUUAUAAGUGAGGAUAUGCAGUAUUUCGUUUUCAGUUCCUGUGUUAGUUUCCUAAGGAUAAUGACCUCCAGCUCCAUCUGUGUUCCUGCAAAGGACAUGAUCUCAUUCUUUUUUAUGGCUGCAUAGUAUUCCAGGGUGUAGAGGAACAACAUUUUCUUUAUCUAAUCUAUCAUUGAUGGGCAUUAGGUUGAUUCCAUGUCUUUUCUAUUGUGACUAGUGCUGCAAUGAACAUGAUACAUGCAUGUGUCUUUAUAAUAGAAUGAUUUAUAUUCCUUUAGUAAUGGGAUUGCUGAGUUAAAUGGUAUUUCUGUCUCUGGGCCUUUGUGGAAUCACCACACUGUCUUCCACAAUGGCUGGACUAAUUUACACCCCACCAACAGAGUGUAAGUGUUCCUCUUUCUCCACAACCUUGCCAUCUUCUGUUAUUUUUUUUUUUUAAUCAAGCCAUUCUGACUGGUGUUAGAUGGUAUCUCAUUGUGGUUUUGAUUUGCAUUUCUCUAAUGAUCAGUGAUGCUGAGCUUUUUAAUGUUUUGCCAAGGACCAUGAAAACUUCACCUCCAGAGCAGAGGCUCUGGGGCUAGCAUUUGGAAACCCCUAUCUCCUAGAAGCAUUCACUGUAGUUGUAUAGAGUAAUUGAAGGUUCUGGACAGAAAAGAGAGGGAAGAGCAUUGGAACACCUAGAAAUGGAGCCAUCAGGAGGAAGGUGGCCUCCCUCUAAGGGUUUCAGAACCACCACAAGAUAAACAGGAGAGAUACUUUGUGCAUUUUACAGAUUAAUGGUAACAAGUACAGAAUUCCAAGGAUCACUGCUAUGGUUUAAAUGUUCGUGUCUCAAAAAUUCCCAUGUUGGAACUUAAUACCCAAUGUGGUAGUAUUAAGAGGUGGGACUUUUGGGAAAGUGAUUAAGUCAUGAGGGCCCCACUCUGAGGAAUGGAUUAACGCUCUUACAAAAAAGUUGGUGAGCCCUAGUUCCUCUUUGCCCUUCCCUCUCUCCCACCAUGUGAGGACACAGCAUUCAUGCCCCUUCACCCUCCAUGGUGUGAGGAUGCACUAGAGGUGCCAUCUUGGAAGCAGAGAGCAGCCCUUACCAGACACUGGAUCUCUAGUGCCUUGACCUUGGACUUCCCAGCCUCCAGAAUCCAAAAAUCAGUUCCUAAUAUUUAUAAAUUACCCAGUCUAAGGUAUUUAGUUAUAGCAGCAUGAACAGGAUAAGAUAAUCACAAAUAUAUAUGUACACAUUUGGAUAUUUUGGAGACUUUUUACUAUACCCAAGCAAUGUGUUUGGAGAAAUUAGUGCUCUUGGAUUAUAUAAAUUCCCGUCACUCAUUUGUAACCCAUCUGUAGAGCAGUAAUAAUAAUACUCAGUGACAAUGAGGACCUCAUGAGUUUCCGUAAAAGGUUUUCUCCUCAUCAGUGGGCAGUAGCCCCCAGCCACCUCCUCUCUGCUGCCAACAGGGAUCUGAGUGCCUUUGCCCAGGCUCAGUGCUACUCAAUGCCUUAACUUUCUGUUUCCUUUCUAAAAGGUUGCUGCUUCUCUCCUGUUUAUGAUGACCCUGUCUCACCCAUCGCUGCCAUAGCAUUUUAUUACUGGCCCCACAGCUGAAGGGUGGCCGGGCAGAUGUAGGCCUCGGGUUUGCAAAGUUGCUUCCAUGAUGUUUCCUGCAUAAACCAUCUUGGAAGGACAACUGCCAAUGGUAGCAUAUUAUCAUGCCAGCGUUUUCCUGACUCUGAGCUGAAGAGUUCAAAAAACAAGAAAGAAAAGAAGAGAGAGAAAGGAAAAGGAUGCCAAAAAGCAGUAUCUUGCAAUGGACAUUUCCAGCUCCAUAAAUGAGGAGUUCAUGUAGAUAUUCUGGGAACUAUUGAAGUGGUCUGGGAUUAUCCCAUCUCCCCACCUCCACCCUGACUCCCCAAGACAUUUUUUUAAAACCAGGCUUCUGUUACUAAUUGUUCCUUCUUAACUCACCAUCCAGUGCUUUGAAGUAACUAUAUUAAGGCAACAGACAUACUGUAAGCAAAUGGCAGAGUACUGAAAUACGGAACCCAAAAUUAUUUUCAGCUUAAUACUAAUCUAUUUCACCCUUCACAAUCUCUGGAAUUUUGCUUUGACUGGGAAUCAAUGUUUGAUGAAAAAGUCUUCCCUUCUUAUGUUUGCAUCUAGCAAAGGUUAGGCCUUAAAUGCCCCUCCUUUUUUUCCACAGGACUUCAUGUGCAAGCGCUUUGCCUUAAUGAGUACUGCAGCAAAUGCACAGUGAGGGACUCUUACCCAAGAAACCUAGAAUGAAAUCUGUGCUGCCUGCUACAACCUGUGGCUUUGGAUUUUCUCGAGGCCCCAGAGCGUCAGAGGAAGUUUUCCGAAUGGCACUCUGCGUGGGAAGGAGCUUGUGCACGUGCACGCUGCCACCAUCUGCCCUCAGCGCUGAUUCAGGAGGCGCUUCUCAACUAUAGCCCACAGUGUGACAACUGAACGUGUCCCCUCACGUUUCCAAAUACGGGGGGUGCAGGAGGCACUGCUCACUGUUGCACCCCCUGACCCACGCUGCCAGUCCUGCCCUCACUGCUGGGUGCUCACUGGGACCCUGGAAAGGUCUAGCUGAGCCUUUUAGGGCAUGAGGAUGUUGGGAGAAUAGAGGUGGCUCCUCUGAGAAGCCUGAGAAGUGUGAGUGUAUAAAUGCAGGCUGAGGUCGUGUCUCCCUGGGAUUGAAUUCACCCAACCUCACCCUCCGUGUAGCGCAAAUGCCCAGCUCCUCCAGGGAAGUGUUCAUGGCCAGAGUCCCAUGUUCCCUGCCAUCAGCAAGGCCCUGGCGCCAUUACUUACAGGAUAUGGCACCUCCCCCAACACCAGUGACCAUCAUCUCUCUCCUCCUCCUCCUUCUUUCCCCUCCUUCCUUCCCCUCCUCCUCCUCCUCCUCUUCUUCUUCACUAGAUACACUUGUUAUAUCUCCCAAUGGGACAAAAAUAGUCUCAUCAUUAUCAUGUGCCUCCUUCUCCUCCCUGUCUUCCUCAGAGGUUGAUACGUGAUUGACACGGUUUGGCUCUCCCUGAAAUGGUUUGGCUGUAUCCCCACCCAAAUCUUACCUUGAAUUAUAAUAAUCCCCAUGUAUCAAGGGUGGUACCAGGUGAAGGCAACUGAAUCAUGGGGGGCAAUUACCCCCAUGCUGCUGUUCUCGUGAUAAUGAGUGAGUUCUCAUGAGAUCUGAUGAUUUUAUAAGCGACAUUUCCCCCUUUGCUCAGCACUUCUCCUUCCUGCCACCAUGUGAAGAAGGACAUGUUUGCUUCCCCUUCCAUCAUGAUUGUAAGUUUCCUGAGGCCUCCCCAGCCCUGUAGACCUGUGAGUCAAUUGAACCUCUUUCCUUUAUAAAUUGCUCAGUCUUGGGCAGUUCUUUGUAGCAGCUUGAGAAUGGACUAAUACAGUGAUAAAAUAUAAAUUGGAAUUUUCAGUGUGCUCACACCAUAAGGAAGAGAACAGUGUCAUUUCUGGGUCAGAAAAUGUGACCACCAUAGAAUUUUCUCAUAUCUAGAACUGUCCGGUAUUUAUAGCUCAGGAUGCUGGUACAACUUUCUGAGAUAGAGAAUUAUAUCCUCACAUAGAAGCUGCUGUGUGGCCCUCCUUACCCUUGGUCACUCAUGGUUGGGUGAACGGACCCAAAGACAGAGACCAAAAAAUCAAAUUCUUGGAUUUUCAGUUCUGAAUAGACACUUGAAACUCAAAGGCCAUGGCCUUGUAAGCCCAGACUCUAAUUUGUAAAAGUUGAGGGUUUUCAGAGAAGAAAAGAACCAGGGCUCCCUGCCAGGUGUCGCACCCUGGGCCUCACGGAGGCCUCCUCUUUCAUCACAUGGCACAGUGACAUUUCUGCUGAAAACAGAAAAGGCUUCCUUCCUAGGACCUACCGUCUCUACUCUUCCACCUUUCUUUUCUCCAUUUCUUUCACCUGAAGGCUUCACCACCAAAGGUUGGAACAUUUUCCUGCUAUUUCAUUACACUUGAGAUUCCAGGCAAAGAAAUUCCGAGUUCAAACAGCAAGGUAAUGCCAUGAAUAAUAAAACGUGUCAAGCUUUUCUGGCAUAGGAACAAGAACGUGAUAUAGACACACACUACCUAAUAGAAGAGAAGGCCCAAUUUCAACCACAUAAAGGGUUCAAGAAGUUCUGUGUUGGUUCCUCCUUCACAUAAAAUAAACACUGGAGAUUCCAGGGACAGAAGAGCAGGGAGCUGCAGAUGCGCUGAGGAUUUCAUUGCCAUCUAGUGUAAAACCCCGCUAUGAACAUUACCAUCACUGAUUUUUACGUUAUUAAGAGAUGGGCCCUUUUAUUGCACUGGUGUCAUGAAAACAACAAAAUCCCACAUGAAGUUAGGCACAACUCAGGACUGCCCUUUUGCAGAACAUGGCUUUUUAGUUAUAGGAUUCUCCAAGGUGGUCUCACAAGUUUCUAAUGAAUUGGGUUGGGAAGCUACUGCUUUAGAAGGCAGAAGCAGUUUCAAGAGUGUGCUCUGGGUAUAAAAGUCAUGGGUGCAGAAGGAUAUCAGCCCCUUCCUAGGUAAUUCCAUCUCUGCUCACUAGUCCUGAGUCUGAGAAAUUGUCAUCAUAAAUUAGGCAGACAGGACUGCCAGAAGCCAAUCCAGAACAUGAAUUUAUAACCCAGGGCUAUUGUAUAGCUUCCUGUGACCUCUUACACGGAGCCUCCCUCUGUCUUCAGGAUCAGGCCAACCUUAGAAUCUCUGACUACUAGAGGCUUGACUUGCAGUGAAACCCGUCCUAAUUGAUGAAGAUCCUGUAUCGAGUUAGAGAAAUGGAAGAAACGACGCGGGGGUCUGGUUUGCCAGCCAACAGCUGUGGCUUAAAUCUGAGUCCUUUGGAAAGAAAGGAAGGCAUUCCUUUUAUUUCUAAUAUGGCUAAGGUGGAAGUUCUUCAUCUCUGUGUGCAUGCAGCUUAGUUCCUGCUCCUUCAGCCAAGCUAACGCGGAAGCCCUAGAGCAUCUGGACCAAGCAAGGAAGCCGGCAGGAGCCUCUGCACUGCCUAUGAAUUUGACCAACGGGACUUGGGCCUGGAAAAGAGCAUCCCGAACAGUGGAGAGGAAGAGGGAGUGAGGCCCUGUGGACACAGCAGAGGAAUCCACAAUGGAUUUGCAGCAGGCUGGUGGAGGCAGAGCAGAGAAGGGCGGGAGAGGGCCAGCGAAGGCCUGGGAAGGUGGACCCACAAACUCGUCUCCUAAUGAAGCUAACCAGCAAUGCGAGGGCACACAGGGAGACCCCCUAGAGGCUGCCCCAGGCCAGGAGUCACCUGUGAACUGAGGUGGCCAAGGCAGGUUCUGUGGCAGAGGGUGAAUGCCUGCAGAUGAGAACCAGCCGCGGUGCCCAGAAAGGAACAGUGUGCGGGCCUGACGGGAGCCCCCAUCAAUACAACCAGCUCCUGCUCAGAACUCUCUUCAGGCAGACAAAUAGAAGAUAUGUUUCUACUUCCCCAGGCCUCAGCACCAUGACUAUUCUAGUCCCAGUGGAUACCCUGCUUCAGGUUUUAUGCAGCUGAGUUGAAAAAGAAUAACAGAAUAGGAGGAAAACAAGGGGAAGAAGGUAGGUGGGACGCCCCAAAUCAUCUUGAGUGCACUCCAUAAAAGAAAGAGGCAUUAAAGCAGCCCCCUCUCCUAUCUCAAGCCAUCCUUCAACUUAUAGGGACUUUGCACAUAGUUGCUGCAGGUUGGCCUGCCUCUGUCAGAGGUGUUUAAACCAGAUUGACUCUCUCUUGUAUAGGGGCUGGGUAAAAUGAGGCUGAGACCUACUGGGCUGCAUUCUCAGGAGAUUAGGCAUUCUAAGUCACAGGAUGAGAUAGGAGGUCGGCACAAGAUACAGAUCACAAAGACCUUGCUGAUAAAACAGGUUGCAGUAAAGAAGCCGGCCAAAACCCACCAAAACCAAGAUGGUGACGAGAGUGACUCUGGUCGUCCUCACUGCUACACUCCCAUCAGCGCCAUGACAGUUUACAGAUGCCAUAGCAACGUCUGGAAGUUACCUGUACGGUCUAUAAAGGGGAGGCAUGAAUAAUCCACCCCUUGUUUAGCAUAUCAUCAAGAAAUAACCAUAAAAAUGGGCAACCAGGAGCCCUUGGGGCUCCUCUGCCUAUGGAGUGGCCAUUCUUUUAUUCCUUUACUUUCUCAAUAAACUUGCUUUCACUUUAUUCUAUGGACUCGCCCCGAAUUCUUUCUUGUGAGAGAUCCAAGAACCCUCUAUUGGGGUGUGGAUCAGGACCCCUUUCCAGUAACACCCCUAUUGUGAGAAGAUGCCUUAAAUGGCUGGAGUUCUGGUGCUGAGCUGUGUUUUCACUCUGGGUAGUUUGUUGUUAGCUUUUUUAACAGCUUAAUUGAGAUAUAGGUAAGAUAUAGUUCACUAGUUAAGAUACAGUUCCGUUCUGGUGUUGCUGUAAAGGAAUACCUGAGGCUGGGAAACUUACAAGAAAAGAGGAUUGUUUGGCUCAUGGUUCUGCAGGCUGUACCAGAAGCAUGGCACCAGCAUCUGCUUCUGGUGAGGCCUCAGGAAGCUUCCAAUCAUGACAGAAGGCCAGGGGGAAGCAGGCAGAAGUGUUAG
rnacentral:lncRNA from 1 species